rnacentral:rRNA from 1 species
AACGAACGCUGGCGGCAUGCCUAACACAUGCAAGUCGAACGAGACCUUCGGGUCUAGUGGCGCACGGGUGCGUAACGCGUGGGAACCUGCCCUUAGGUUCGGAAUAACUCCCCGAAAGGGGUGCUAAUACCGGAUAAUGUCUUCGGACCAAAGAUUUAUCGCCUUUGGAUGGGCCCGCGUUGGAUUAGCUAGUUGGUAGGGUAAAAGCCUACCAAGGCGACGAUCCAUAGCUGGUCUGAGAGGAUGAUCAGCCACACUGGGACUGAGACACGGCCCAGACUCCUACGGGAAGGAGGAGUUGGGAAUAUUUGAACAUGGGCGAAAUGCUGAACCAGCAAUGCCGCGUGAGUGAUGAAGGCCUUAGGGUUGUAAAGCUCUUUUACCCGGGAUGAUAAUGACAGUACCGGGAGAAUAAGCGCCGGCUAACUCCGUG